AUGAAUGAUGAGAGAGAAUCACUGAUUGGCUGCCUCCUUCAUGCCCCCCAUUGGGGAUUGAGCUGCAACCUGAGCAGGUGCUUUAACUAGGAACCAAACCAUGACUUCCUAAUUCAUAGGUUAACUCUCAAUCACCGAGCCACAUGGGUAGCUAUUUUUUGUUUAAAAAGUCAAAUCAGACAUUCAUACACUGUUAGGAAAAUAGCUGUCCACAUUUGCCCUAUAAGUUUAUGAGUUCUUUGAGGUUAGGCUAGGUCUUUCCUUAACUUCUCCCCUUUUAAAUAUAUCUUAUGCAUAUAGAACCUAGGUAUUCAAUAAAUGUUUUAUUCAAUUGAGAUUGAAUUUAUUUGAGAAUUAUAACUGAUUUUUCAAGAUUGGGUAUUUUCAUCACUAUCAACUUUGUAGAACCUUUUCUCAUAUUGCAUGGCAAGAAGAAACUUAUUUCUUAGCCUUUAAGUUUAAGAUAGCUAAAGUCAUUCAUUUAGGAAAUUAUUUUGCUAGAUACCGAGGUUCUCAACCUUUCUGGUGUCUAGACACCUUAAGAAACUAUUAAAUAUUCUCAAAGAGUUUAUUGAUUUUACUAUACUAGAAAUUAGAACUAAAACUAAAAACAAUUCAUUAGAAAUAACAGUAAAUCCUUUAAUUAAAUAUUUUUGUGG